AUUGAACGCUGGCGGCAUGCCUUACACAUGCAAGUCGAACGGCAGCGCGGACUUCGGUCUGGCGGCGAGUGGCGAACGGGUGAGUAAUACAUCGGAACGUACCCUGUUGUGGGGGAUAACUAGUCGAAAGAUUAGCUAAUACCGCAUACGACCUGAGGGUGAAAGUGGGGGAUCGCAAGGCCUCACGCAGCAGGAGCGGCCGAUGUCUGAUUAGCUAGUUGGUGGGGUAAAGGCCCACCAAGGCGACGAUCAGUAGCUGGUCUGAGAGGACGAUCAGCCACACUGGGACUGAGACACGGCCCAGACUCCUACGGGAGGCAGCAGUGGGGAAUUUUGGACAAUGGGGGCAACCCUGAUCCAGCAAUGCCGCGUGUGUGAAGAAGGCCUUCGGGUUGUAAAGCACUUUUGUCCGGAAAGAAAUCGCGCUGGUUAAUACCUGGCGUGGAUGACGGUACCGGAAGAAUAAGCACCGGCUAACUACGU
rnacentral:rRNA from 1 species